GACGAACGCUGGCGGCGUGCUUAACACAUGCAAGUCGAACGGAAAGGCCCUGCUUUUGUGGGGUGCUCGAGUGGCGAACGGGUGAGUAACACGUGAGUAACCUGCCCUUGACUUUGGGAUAACUUCAGGAAACUGGGGCUAAUACCGGAUAGGAGCUCCUGCUGCGUGGUGGGGGUUGGAAAGUUUCGGCGGUUGGGGAUGGACUCGCGGCUUAUCAGCUUGUUGGUGGGGUAGUGGCUUACCAAGGCUUUGACGGGUAGCCGGCCUGAGAGGGUGACCGGCCACAUUGGGACUGAGAUACGGCCCAGACUCCUACGGGAGGCAGCAGUGGGGAAUCUUGCACAAUGGGCGGAAGCCUGAUGCAGCAACGCCGCGUGCGGGAUGACGGCCUUCGGGGUGUAAACCGCUUUCGCCUGUGACGAAGCGGGAGUGACGGUAAUGGGUAAAGAAGCACCGGCUAACUACGUG
rnacentral:rRNA from 1 species